GAGGAAGCCAGUGGUGCGACAGGUGAAGGUGCGGCGGAGGCGCAGCCAGUGAGGAUGUCAUUAAUGGACUUGUUAGAGGAGACAGAUAGGCAAAUGGGAUUUGAGGGGUCCAGGUACAUAAUGGGAGAUGAGGAUGAGGAAUGCGAAGAAGAAGAUGAUGAUGAAGAUGGAGCGGACGGUGGUGAUGGGAUAGAGCACAC
rnacentral:misc_RNA from 1 species